CACGUAGGGGGCAAGCGUUGUCCGGAUUUAUUGGGCGUAAAGAGCUUGUAGGUGGUUCAGUAAGUCAGGUGUGAAACCUCCAGGCUCAACCUGGAGACGCCACUUGAUACUGCUGUGACUGGAGUCCGGUAGGGGAGCGUGGAAUUCCUGGUGUAGCGGUGAAAUGCGCAGAUAUCAGGAGGAACACCAGCGGCGAAGGCGGCGCUCUGGGCCGGUACUGACACUGAGGAGCGAAAGCGUGGGUAGCAAACAGG
rnacentral:rRNA from 1 species